rnacentral:sRNA from 1 species
AUUCUGAGUGAACAGAGAAGCUUCAAGCACCCACCUUUAGCCCUAUUCUUGCCUUUUUCAUCAGGGCUUGGAAGACAGGGAAUAGCUACAGCCAGACUGGAAGGAAAGAAAAAGGAGAUCCUCUCAACAUUGCGAUUGAUAAGAUGACUAAGAAAACAAGAGAUCUAAGGAGACAGCUUCGGAAAGCAGUGAUGGAUCACAUAUCUGAUUCUUUCCUGGAAACCAAUGUUCCUUUGCUAGUUCUCAUUGAGGCUGCAAAGAGCGGAAAUGAAAAGGAGGUGAAAGAAUAUGCCCAAGUUUUCCGUGAGCAUGCCAACAAACUGGUAGAGGUUGCCAAUUUGGCCUGUUCCAUCUCCAACAAUGAAGAAGGGGUGAAAUUAGUUCGGAUGGCAGCCACCCAGAUUGACAGCCUGUGUCCCCAGGUCAUCAAUGCCGCUCUGACACUGGCUGCCCGGCCACAGAGCAAAGUUGCUCAGGAUAACAUGGACGUCUUCAAAGACCAGUGGGAGAAGCAGGUCCGAGUGUUGACAGAGGCCGUGGAUGACAUCACCUCAGUGGAUGACUUCCUCU